GACCGUGCAAAGGUAGCAUAAUCAUUAGUCUUUUAAAAGAGGGCUGGAAUGAAAGGUUUGACGAGGUAUUAACUGUCUCAUUUUAUUUGUUUUUAGAAUUUAACUUUUUAGUCAAAAGGCUUAAAUUUUAUUGGAAGACGAGAAGACCCUAUAGAGCUUUAUAUUUAUUAUUUUAAUUAUAGAUAUAUAAUUUUUAAUUAAAUAAAUUAUUAUUUUGUUGGGGUGACAAGAAAAUAAAACUAACUUUUUUAUUUAUUUAACAUUAAUUUAUGGUUAUUUGAUCCAUUAUUAUUGAUUAUUAGAUUAAGUUACCUUAGGGAUAACAGCGUAAUCCCCUCCCAGAGUUCAUAUUUACGAGUGGGGCUGCGACCUCGAUGUUGGAUUAAGAUAAUAAUUAGGUGUAGCCGCUUAAUU
rnacentral:rRNA from 1 species